UACAGAGGGUGCAAGCGUUAAUCGGACUUACUGGGCGUAAAGGGCGCGUAGGCGGCGCAACAAGUCACUUGUGAAAUCUCCGGGCUUAACCCGGAGCGGCCAAGUGAUACUGUCGUGCUAGAGUGCGGAAGGGGCUACUGGAAUUCUCGGUGUAGCGGUGAAAUGCGUAGAUAUCGAGAGGAACACCUGCGGCGAAGGCGGGUUGCUGGGCUGACACUGACGCUGAUGCGCGAAAGCUAGGGGAGCAAACGGG
rnacentral:rRNA from 1 species